UCUCACUUCGCCAUCCAUCCUUCUGCCCAUAAUCCCGCGACCAGAGACAAACGCACCUGUACAAGUCGCCGUGCCCAACGACAGCUCGAUGACUCUUAUGCGUGCGACCGCGCGUUUCUUCCAUCGAUCUGGAAACAAAAAAAGAUGCGUCGCGGUUAGAGCUGGUGCUACUCUCACCUCCAACCUUUCCUUCAUCGUUCGCGUCAGUCCUGACAACAUCUUGUUGGCUUGACCAAGAUGUUCUAGACAUGGUGUCUUGCCAACAACCAAAGGAUUUGGUUCCCCUAGAUCCCACCAAGAUACUCAAUAGGCUGGUAAAUAAGUGUAAAUGCUUCGCCGGGAAACUGCAGGAAAAUGAUGAAACAACAGCAAUGAAGGAAGUCGAUGGACAAGGACGAUUAAACACCAUUCUAAGGCGUCUGAUGAUUGACCGAAGGGAGUUAGCAACUGUGCAUGCCGUUCUAACGGUACAGCAACCUGCUCCCUAUAUUUAACAUCGAGUAAUGUGGUUUAUAGGAGAAUAACACAGUGCAAUUUCG
rnacentral:sRNA from 1 species